UUGAGAUUUUUUCAGACGCAGAUAUGCAUGUUCUUUUUUUGCCAACAGGCUGUGUAAAGUUCUAUUGUGGUAACAGUCUUUAAGAAACAAAUUAUACUUUGAGAAGAAGCCAAUGAUCAUGGAUAAUAUAAAGCUGGGGAGAAAAAGAAGAAAGGAAAAAAAUGAAGUUGCAGCCUCCUCCUAACUAGAGCUCACUCUCAACAGGGAAGAAAGUCAAGUCCAGGAAAAGCCAGCGAUUGGUUACUGAUUGACCCUGCCCUUGGAUCAAUGGGCAAUUACCUUCCAUCCUGCUGACUUUAAGUAUGGUUGUAAUGAUGUGACUGCUUGAAACAGGGAGGGUCAGGGUAUACCUUAACCUCCUCCCGGCAUGGAACAACACGUGCGGGGGUCACUGCGCUGGCGUGAAUAAGACGGAGGUCCAAAGAUGGAGUCAGCGUUCUCGGCUUGAAGCUGCGCAUGAUCAGAGUGAGCGGCCUAUCGUCGUGGAGCUUGGCUACCUGGUACAGCAGAUUUUCAGUAUAGAUAAAUGAGCUGGAGGAGGAACAAAACGCCCAAUACGACAUUUUCCA